rnacentral:tRNA from 1 species
ACUUUCUUAGUAUAAUUAGUACUGCUGACUUCCAAUCAACAAGACUCGUAAUAACCACGAGAGAAAGUA